GUAAAUAAUCAGUGCAUAAAAAAAACAUUUAAAGCUUAUAUAUACAACAAAUCACAAAUAUAUGCAUGCGUAAUAGUUUAAUACGAUAAAAGAAAGGGCUAUCUGGCAACGUAGAGCUCGCGUGGUCGACGGUAGACACUAUGUCGGAGCCUUCACUUGGCAGUGAUCAUCUCAGACUCGUGACGGUAGGGUGUUGUUGCUCGUGCUCCCGGGGGCCGAAAUAACCCGACUUGCACAGAAGAACAAACUUUCUGAGGAGCUAAAAAAACGAAAAUGGCUUGACUAUUUGAUGAUCCAGACAACAUGGAUUCAUUUGCUAACCACUGAAGGACUGGUGUGUCUGAGGGCGAGGGCGACGGCGGCGCAGGGAGAAGCAACGCGGAAUAGCGGAAGGAGGAACAUUGGGGGACGACGAGGAGAAUAAGAGGUA